CUAGGCAUCAAGAACCCCGUUGGUCUGCCCGUCAAUAGGCACCUCGGCAGGCUCGCUGGAUGGGGUCACCGCGAUGGUCGCCGCGAAAUGCAUGUCGACUUCGAGGGUCGACUCGCCGACUUUGAAAGAGCAAACCUAGUCACGCUACAACACAUAGACGUGGUCGAUCUUUGGGUGGUAGAGCACAAAACCUUUAUUGAGAAGACAUACAAUGACCAAGGCCAACAGAGGACGGACGGAGAUAUAAUCAAAGAGCACAACUCAUGUUUCACGUGUUGGUUCAAGGAGAAGCUUCUGUCGUACCCUUUACAUGAGGAUUCUUCCGCGGAAGAAAAACUCAUAUUCGCCUUGUCACAGGGCGCCGAGCACAAUCUGAUGACCUAUGAGGCGUACGAUAUCAACGGCUACACAUUCUACACCAAGGGAAAGGACAUGAAGAGCGAUGGUUAUCAGAACUCCGGGGUAACGAUGGAAUCCUACACCGGUAACGACAAG
rnacentral:rRNA from 1 species